UCCAGCAUGAUGUAGUGGUUUGAGCGUUGGACCAUGACUCUGGAGAUCAGGGUUCGAUUCCCUGCUUGAC